rnacentral:rRNA from 1 species
UUNUGAACUGGGUGGCUAGAGUAUGUCAGAGGGGGGUAGAAUUCCACGUGUAGCAGUGAAAUGCGUAGAGAUGUGGAGGAAUACCGAUGGCGAAGGCAGCCCCCUGGGAUAAUACUGACGUUCAUGCUCGAAAGCGUGGGUAGCAAACAGGAUUAGAUACCCUGGUAGUCCACGCCCUAAACGAUGUCGAUUAGCUGUUGGGCAGCUUGACUGCUUAGUAGCAUAGCUAACGCGUGAAAUCGACCGCCUGGGGAGUACGGUCGCAAGAUUAAAACUCAAAGGAAUUGACGGGGACCCGCACAAGCGGUGGAUGAUGUGGAUUAAUUCGAUGCAACGCGAAGAACCUUACCUGGUCUUGACAUGUACGGAACCUUCCAGAGACGGAAGGGUGCCUUCGGGAACCGUAACACAGGCGCUGCAUGGCUGUCGUCAGCUCGUGUCGUGAGAUGUUGGGUUAAGUCCCGCAACGAGCGCAACCCUUGUCAUUAGUUGCCAUCAUUCAGUUGGGCACUCUAAUGAGACUGCCGGUGACAAACCGGAGGAAGGUGGGGAUGACGUCAAGUCCUCAUGGCCCUUAUGACCAGGGCUUCACACGUCAUACAAUGGUCGGUACAAAGGGUAGCCAAGCCGCGAGGCGGAGCCAAUCUCAUAAAACCGAUCGUAGUCCGGAUUGCACUCUGCAACUCGAGUGCAUGAAGUCGGAAUCGCUAGUAAUCGCAGGUCAGCAUACUGCGGUGAAUACGUUCCCGGGUCUUGUACACAC